rnacentral:rRNA from 1 species
UACGUAGGGUGCAAGCGUUUAAUCGGAAUUACUGGGCGUAAAGCGUGCGCAGGCGGUCCGUUAAGACAGGUGUGAAAUCCCCGGGCUUAACCUGGGAACUGCAUUUGUGACUGCAUCGCUGGAGUGCGGCAGAGGGGGAUGGAAUUCCGCGUGUAGCAGUGAAAUGCGUAGAUAUGCGGAGGAGCACCGAUGGCGAAGGCAAUCCCCUGGGCCUGCACUGACGCUCAUGCACGAAAGCGUGGGGAGCAAACAGG